rnacentral:rRNA from 1 species
UACAGAGGUCUCAAGCGUUGUUCGGAUUCAUUGGGCGUAAAGGGUGCGUAGGUGGCGCUGUAAGUCGGGUGUGAAAUUUCGGAGCUUAACUCCGGAAACUGCAUUCGAUACUGCGGUGCUUGAGGACUGGAGAGGAGACUGGAAUUCGAUGGUGUAGCAGUGAAAUGCGUAGAGAUCAUGAGGAAGACCAGUGGCGAAGGCGGGUCUCUGGACAGUUCCUGACACUGAGACACGAAGGCCAGGGGAGCGAACGGG